UACAGAGGUCUCAAGCGUUGUUCGGAUUCAUUGGGCGUAAAGGGUGCGUAGGUGGCGCCGUAAGUCGGGUGUGAAAUUCGAGGCUUAACUCCGAAACUGCAUUCGAUACUGCGGUGCUUGAGGACUGGAGAGGAGACUGGAAUUCAUGGUGUAGCAGUGAAAUGCGUAGAGAUCAUGAGGAAGACCAGUGGCGAAGGCGGGUCUCUGGACAGUUCCUGACACUGAGACACGAAGGCCAGGGGAGCAAACGGG
rnacentral:rRNA from 1 species